rnacentral:rRNA from 1 species
AGAGUUUGAUCCUGGCUCAGAACGAACGCUGGCGGCGUGCUUAACACAUGCAAGUCGAACGCGAAAGAGGUCUUCGGACCUUGAGUAGAGUGGCGCACGGGUGAGUAACGCGUAGGUAAUCUACCCCUUUAUCAGGAAUAACUCGUCGAAAGGCGAGCUAAUACCGGAUAUUCUCAUGUUUAUGCGAAUUGAGAUGAGGAAAGGUGACGAUCCGCAAGGAGUUACCGUAGAGGGAUGAGCCUGCGUCCCAUUAGCUAGUUGGUGGGGUAAAGGCCCACCAAGGCGACGAUCAGUAGCUGGUCUGAGAGGACGACCAGCCACACUGGAACUGAGACACGGUCCAGACUCCUACGGGAGGCAGCAGUGGGGAAUUUUGGACAAUGGGCGCAAGCCUGAUCCAGCCAUUCCGCGUGAGUGAAGAAGGCCUUCGGGUUGUAAAGCUCUUUCGCAAGGGAAGAAAACUUAGCCACUAACAUUGGCUGAGGUUGACGGUACCUUGAUAAGAAGCACCGGCUAACUACGUGCCAGCAGCCGCGGUAAUACGUAGGGUGCGAGCGUUAAUCGGAAUUACUGGGCGUAAAGCGUGCGCAGGCGGUUUUGUAAGUCAGAUGUGAAAUCCCCGAGCUCAACUUGGGAACUGCGUUUGAAACUACAAGACUAGAAUAUGUCAGAGGGGGGUAGAAUUCCACGUGUAGCAGUGAAAUGCGUAGAGAUGUGGAGGAAUACCAAUGGCGAAGGCAGCCCCCUGGGAUAAUAUUGACGCUCAUGCACGAAAGCGUGGGGAGCAAACAGGAUUAGAUACCCUGGUAGUCC